AUCCUCAUAAGUUUGACGACAAGAGAUGCCUGUUUUAAAUAUUAUAUAUAUUUUUAUUAAAUUAAAAAUUAAAAUUUAUUUAAAAUUGGAGACAUAGAAUCGGAGGCCCCGACUGUUUACUAAAAACAUAUCACAGUGCAAUCAUUAAUAUGAUAGUAUACAGUGUGAAAUUUGCCCAAUGCCAUUAAUAUAAAUGAGAUCAUGAAAGUGAUUAAAUGAAAGUCUGGUUAAUAGCGGUCUUAACUAUGAGGAUCCUAAGGUAGCAAAAUAAGUUGGCCAUUAAAUGUGGUCUGGUAUCAAUAAUGUAACGAUGGUCUCACUGUCUCUACAACUUGCUCAGUGAAAUUGAAUUACGCGUGCAGAUGCGCGUUACCUCCAGGGGGACGGGAAGACCCUAU
rnacentral:rRNA from 1 species